AAUUUUAAGUGAGACUAGCUGGUGAUGAGAUUGAGAGGGUAAUUUAGUCUCUAGCCUAAGAGGUCUUUUACCAGCUUUAUUCACUGAUAAGUGUUAAACUGUGGAGUGAUAUGCUGCUUCAUUUUGGGCUGCAGUGUGUGGCUCAGUGUUGUCAGGCUGAUGAUAGAUUGUUUGAUGUAGUCAUAUCUACUGAGACAGGGGAAGCUAUCUCAAAUUCCAUCCAGAAGAACUAUGGGCCUUCUAAUUAAAAAAACUUCAUAAGAGCAUGUUACUUAAUGACAUUGUCACAGCUGUCCUGAUGUAGAAGACGACUCUUUACAAAAUGAAACUUGCUUUUAUCAGGGUGGUGCUACACUUUGAAUUCAUCUCCAGAGCUGCGCUCCAUUACCCCAGCAUGCAUAUGCUGGAGCAAACUCAUAAGCUUAUAAAGGCAUGCUGGGCAGUUGUCAGCUUCUAUUUUUAAACUGUUUCUGAGAAACACUUCUGUCUCCUAUCUGUGCACAAGCAUAGGAAAGGCUAUACUUCAUGCAGGAGCCAUGGUGUCUGGGCUCAGCUAACAGCAGUUUGUGAACUUGAGUUACUAUCUCUCUUCAGAGAUAGUAGGGCUGAAUCUGCACUGGCUUCUGUUGAGGAGGGGAAAUCAUGCGAACUAGGAAAUUUUUAAUGGGAAUCGUGAUGACUGGUGUCAAAAGCACCUGCUUUGCUAUGCUUAACGGAAUACAAGAAGAGUUGAGCUGGACCACUUUAAAUAGUAUCUCUCCUGGUGAUUCUUAAACAUAAAGGUUUUUUCGUACCUAGUUGAUUCUAUGAUUUUAAGAGCAUCAAGUCCAACCAUUACCCCAGGAAACAUAGUGGCUUUACUUAAGAGUCUGCUACUGAUUUGCAGGGACCUUUGCUCUAAUUGUGUGAUACUACUAUAUGCUGCCUUUAUGCCUUUUUCUGAUGUUAGUGGAAACUUAAAAAUGCAACACGGUUCUGUAUGCAAGUAGGACUAGUAUUUUAAGGUUUUUCCUCCCUUUUUCCAAGAUCAUCUACUUCAGACUCGGCCAGAAAUAGAAACACUGAAUGUGAGUGUUAACAUACUCUUGCUAUGGUAGGGAGAGAAUUCCAAAAUUGAAGGGCCACUUCAGACAAUGUGUAAUGUAGUUUGGGGCA